rnacentral:rRNA from 1 species
UACGGAGGGUGCAAGCGUUACUCGGAAUUACUGGGCGUAAAGGACGCGUAGGCGGUUUAGAAAGUCAGAUGUGAAAGCCUAUGGCUUAACCAUAGAACUGCAUUUGAAACUUCUAAACUAGAGUGAGGGAGAGGUCAGUGGAAUUAGUGGUGUAGGGGUAAAAUCCGUAGAGAUCACUAGGAAUACUCAUUGCGAAGGCGACUGACUGGAACUUAACUGACGCUGAGGCGUGAAAGCGUGGGGAGCAAACAGGAUUAGAUACCCUGGUAGUCCACGCCCUAAACGAUGUACACUAGUUGUUGUGAUGCUAGUCAUUGCAGUAAUGCAGCUAACGCAUUAAGUGUACCGCCUGGGGAGUACGGUCGCAAGAUUAAAACUCAAAGGAAUAGACGGGGACCCGCACAAGCGGUGGAGCAUGUGGUUUAAUUCGAAGAUACGCGAAGAACCUUACCUAGGCUUGACAUCCUAUUAACAACAUAGAGAUAAGUUGGUGCUAGUUUACUAGAAAAUAGUGACAGGUGCUGCACGGCUGUCGUCAGCUCGUGUCGUGAGAUGUUGGGUUAAGUCCCGCAACGAGCGCAACCCUCGUCGUUAGUUGCUAACAGUUCGGCUGAGCACUCUAACGAGACUGCCUUCGUAAGGAGGAGGAAGGUGAGGACGACGUCAAGUCAUCAUGGCCCUUAUGCCUAGGGCUACACACGUGCUACAAUGGGGAGGACAAUGAGAGGCGAUACCGCGAGGUGGAGCAAAUCUAUAAACCUCUUCUCAGUUCGGAUAGCACUCUGCAACUCGAGUGCUUGAAGCUGGAAUCGCUAGUAAUCGUAGAUCAGCAAUGCUACGGUGAAUACGUUCC